CUCUAUAAGCACCAAAAUUUGAUGGAAAGCCAUAGUCACCGAUUUUAAUAAAACUUUUGUAAAUUAAUACAUACUACUAGUCAAGUAUACUGGUAUAUGCAAAAUGACGGGAUACUGCUGUUUCCAUGGAAACCAGCAAGUCAUACUUUUGUCACAUUUGCUAUUAUUUCCUUUAUAAUGUAUGUUGCUGAAACUCAUAAACGCAGCAACACAAUUCAACAAAACUAAUCCUGUAGAAAGAUUAUAGAUAUAUAAGUUAACCUUCAAAAAAUUGGAGGUGUGUUUUUUAAAAUAAAGAAAAUAAAGCCUUGUAAAUUUGCUGUUUUUCAAGAGAAAAGUGCUAAAUUUUAUCAAGAGUUAUUUCCCUUCGUGUAACUCUUUUGUGUUUCCUGUGAAAAAAGGAAUGUUUUCUGCCAGCAGAAGACUUUCAGAUUGGUUUGCUGCUUCGUUUUUACUACAAAUUCCACUUGUCAGAAGAUGUAUAUAAUUUGAAUUCAGUUGAUAUGAAUAAUAAGGACAUAAUACUAACAGAAUGUGGUAUUUUGCCGUCCAGUUCUGAAAAUAGGGAAAUUUGUUCCACACAUUUUUCUCUGCCGUUGAAACAAAACAGUGACUGAGUGAGGUACGAAGAAAUUUGGUGUCAAGUGCCAUUCCUUAUUUUAAAAAAAAUCUGGUGAAUCAUAAUUCAUUCCAUGAGAAGCAGAAAUCCAACAGACUGAUCCCAGUCACCGGUGUACUCUAAAUACACAGAGGCCAGAGGACUUGUUCUUCCUGGAACCUCUCUAUGCACCAGCCUGUCUCGUGAAGUUGAAUGCUCAAACAAUAUGAAGAGGAUGAAAAUCUAGCUGACAAUUAAAACAGGAAAUAUGAUCAGGCUCAGCCACACCUUAAUGAACAUAAAGAGCUACUUCAUUGAAGGCCAUGAUAUGUUCUAACAGCUGAUUCAAUAAAAGAGGUUAUUGAACAAUCUCUGAAAACUGUCAAGUAAAGAGUCAGAACAAUUGUAGAUACAUGCACAGAAAAGAAGAAAAAACUCUACUGAAACCAUGGCUUAGAUAUCAACAUAAAAUAACUUCUUUUCUCAAGUAUAUCUCUUUCUCAAGUAUUCCAAAAGUGGAUCUUUUUCAAAUUCAAAGUGAAGUAUCACAGGGAGCAUGUGAGAUUGUGAAACAGUCUGCCUACAAAAAUUAAAAGGGAGGAAAACAUCUACAAGUGUACCAAAGAUGGUUGCACACUAUUGUUCCCUAUAUAUUUUCCUUAUGAUUUUCAUGUACAGUCUUCUGUGUGAUUGUUAAGUUGGGUGCAUUAGUAGACUUCUCUGAAUCUUGUGUAGAAUUUUACAAUUUAAAUUCUGAGGUAAAAUCCUGUUUUUAGUGUUCAUUCAGUUAUAGUAAUGGGCCACUCUCCUUUUGAACAGCUUCAUGUCAAAAUACCUCUCAACAUUGAAUGCUUAUCAAAUUGUUUUAACCGAAUAAAAACAUGUAUCAUAUUUCCAAAACCAGAUUUGUUCUUUUUUUUU